UUAAGUUCAGCGGGUAUCCCUACCUGAUCCGAGGUCAACCUUAAUAAAUUUGGGGUUACUGGCAAGACAACCGUCUGGUUUCUGUAGCGAGGAGAUUUACUACGCUUAGAGCCAGAUGGCGCCGCCACUGAUUUGAGGCCCGCCCAGAGGCGAAGCCCAAGACCCUACACGAAGUAGGAGUUGGUGUAUAUGACGCUCGA
rnacentral:misc_RNA from 1 species